AACCUAGCACACCUGCGGUGUGUACCUGCGGAGGGAUCAUUACAUGAUUUAACAGGGAGUGGAGGCUUCGGCCAAAGCUCUGUCUGAACCCAUGUCUUUUGCGUACUUCUUGUUUCCUCGGUGGGCUUGCCCGCCGAUAGGACAACCUUAAACUCUUUGCAAUUGCAAUCAGCGUCUGAAAAACUAUAAUAGUUACAACUUUUAGCAAUGGAUCU
rnacentral:misc_RNA from 1 species